rnacentral:misc_RNA from 1 species
GCCCUGGUCUCAAUGAUGUCAUCAGACAGAUUGUCAUCACACUUGAAAUAUAUGGUGUCAAAAAGAUAGUUGGGAUUCCUUUUGGUUAUCGAGGAUUUUCUGACAAUGAUUUGAGUGAAAUGCCGCUAUCAAGGAAAGUAGUUCAAAAUAUUCAUCUUUCUGGUGGAAGCUUGUUAGGAGUUUCACGUGGAGGACCGAGUGUUAGUGACAUGGUGGACAGAAUGGAGGAAAAAGGAAUCAACAUGCUUUUUGUGUUAGGUGGGAAUGGUACACAUGCUGGAGCUAAUGCAAUACACAAUGAGUGCCGUAAACGAAGGUUGAAAGUGGCUGGAGUUGGUGUUCCAAAAACUAUAGACAACGAUAUUUUGUUGAUGGAUAAAACUUUUGGUUUUGACACUGCUGUUGAAGAAGCACAGCGAGCAAUAAAUUCUGCAUACAUUGAGGCACAUAGCGCUUAUCAUGGUAUUGGAGUUGUGAAAUUGAUGGGUCGUAGCAGUGGAUUUAUAGCCAUGCAUGCAGCCCUAGCUAGUGGACAAAUUGACAUAUGUUUGAUUCCCGAGGUACCAUUUCAUUUACAUGGGCCUCAUGGUGUUUUGAGGCAUUUGAAAUACCUAAUUGAAACAAAGGGAUCAGCUGUGGUUUGUGUAGCAGAGGGAGCUGGACAGAAUUUCCUGGAGAAAACUAAUGCUACUGAUGCAUCCGGAAACAUUGUGCUUGGAGACAUUGGGGUGCACAUUCAACAAGAGACAAAAAAAUAUUUUAAGGAGAUUGGUGUUCAUGUUGAUGUGAAGUAUAUUGAUCCAACAUACAUGAUCCGUGCAUGUCGUGCAAAUGCAUCAGAUGGAAUCUUAUGUACUGUUCUUGGACAAAAUGCUGUCCAUGGUGCAUUUGCCGGAUAUAGCGGAAUUACUGUAGGAAUAUGCAACACUCACUACGUCUACUUUCCCAUUCCUGAAGUUAUUUCUCAUCCCAGGGCUGUAGACCCUAACAGCCGGAUGUGGCAUCGUUGCUUGACUUCGACAGGCCAGCCUGACUUUAUCUAAAUUAAUUGCCUAAGCCUUCUAAUUUAUGCUAAAGAAUUAAGAAAUCAAAGUUUCAAAAAGUUCAUUAAUGGACAUAAUACCAGCUUUAGAAGAUUAGCACUUAGCUAGAGACUUUUCAUCAUCUAGAGACUUUUCAUCAUCAUAGGCUGUUGAAAUAAUACAGAGGAUGAAAUUUCCUCUAUAUGAGAAAAUUAUUCAGUGCCAGUUUUCGAAAUCACAAGGCACCAUAGUAAUAAAAUGUUACAGGAAUCACCCAAGCAAUUUGUGCUUGACACAUGAAUUCUGAUUGCACUAUUUAAUGUGUCAUUACCUAUUUUUGUACAUCAAAAUUUUUGCAGUUCACCAUGUUAACGAGACUACACUGUCUGUAUCUGUAAAACUUAAGACAUGAUUCAAGAUGAUUGCUUGGGUCGGAUCUGCUGUAAUUAAAGUCCUGGAAGACCACCAAUUGGAAUUAAUACACACAUUCAUAUGGUGAAUAUUUUGUACUGCAGUAGUCGCUGUAACCUUCUAAAAGCAGCAGUGAAUUUGACCACACCCCCCUCCCCUCAGCCCCAAGAUGAAGGAUUGGUCAAUGACUGGUACGCAUGGUAUCUAAAGUUAUGCCGAUGUGUUUCUUAUCUCUUUGACCUUUCGGCAUGUGAAGCUUGCAACUUCACUUUUGGUUAAAAGGCGUGCCCUUCGGCGCCGAGGGGAGAAGAAAAUUCUCUAUUAAUUGAAACUCCACCGACAACCUAUAAUUUCACGAUGAAGUUUGUAUCAGCUGGUAGAAUAUGAUCCAUGAUGAACUCGAAUGUUAUUUGGAAUAAAGCUCAAUUCUGUCCAUGUAUGUUUUGGCGAUGUUCAAUUAGGCUCAAAAUAAGCUUUUUGACCA